UACUUUUUCAAAAGGUCCUAUGCGCCAAAAGUAAACAAACUGAGUUAGUUAUUGCAUUAUAUUCUGUGUACUCAAAACUAUACUAUCUGCUAACCCGAUUUCUUGAAACUCUUUUGUUUUAAAAUAUAUUAUUUAUCUACAAAACAACCUACAACUAUUCCUAGUAAAUUUCAAACUAAAUGGUUAUAGGUCAUAUUACCAACUUAUUGUUCUAUGUGCAUUCCAGUCCAACGUGUACAUAGAACUGUAGCAAAUCGACCUAUGAGCAAUUAUGAAUAUAUUUUAAUCAUCAUACACAUACGCUCUCAUCAAAAUGACCUAUGUUAAAAAUAAAAUGAAUAUUUAAAAAAUAAAUUAUACGUCGAUUUUGUAUGAAACAGAAUCAUUAAAAAUUUUACAAUCUUCAAUGUAUGUACAAUGUAUCCGAUUCUCGCGAAGAGUGUAGUCAUCAGCCAGGAGAGAGCAUGAAAUGUUUCAAUGCUGCCAAAGCCGAAGGGAAUAGUGCAAAACGACCUAACCGCCCUCUCUCGAAUUUGACAGAUUGAACGCGAGCAUAAAUUGGAUUGAACAAAAAAGCAUAAUUUUUGUUUUGACAUUAGUGAGAAUUGCUCUGUGGUUUGCACACGUGUUAUUUCAGUUUGUAAGAAAUCCUCUAAACAAUGUCCAAAUUGCAGUUACUUCUCGGUAAGAUUAGUUAUUUUUUUUAAUCAAAACGUAACGUCAAUGAUUAUUUUUAAUAAUAUUCACUCAGAUGCUGCUAAGCUUUUGAGCGAAGAAGACUCCGUGAAGUCAAGCGGUAAAACAACAAGAAAUCUGGGUUCAUUUUUGGAUUUGAACCUUAGUGUCGGCUCCGGUACUUCUCGGCCGUCAUUUACCGGCGGAAGAUCUUUUGCGGAAGUCUCCCGGUCCUCUACAAGCAGCGGGAGAUCUCGGUUGUCCAGGAAUGGAAUUUUCUAUUCUGCUUCAACUGAACCGCAACCUCCGAAUUUAAGCUCAGAUUUGGACUUUCCCAUAUUGACCGUAAAAAAAAGCUCCAGCAAAAUUCGCCCAACAGCUCGUACUCCUCGAAAGACCCUUGUGGAGCUUAACGGACCAAGGCGUCAUCCACAAGGAACCGAGUCCAAGGUAGGUGCCGAAAACCUGGUGUCGGGAACUCAAGGUGUGCAGGUCAAGUUAGCGAAUCGCUGGUCUUCGGCAUCUGUUGAUCAUUUGCAUACAAACGGCGGUUCCGACUCUGGGCUUCCGUUGACAGUUGUGAAAAGUUCGAACAAAAUCCGCCCACCUGCUCGAACUCCUCGAAAGCCUUUGGUUGAGCUGAACGGGUCAAGGUGUCAUCCGCAAGGUACCGAUGCCAAGACAGGUGACCAUUGGAUGCCAUCCGAACGGCCAACUUCGGUACUGCCGUACUUGGAAAACUCAGAGAAGGAAGCGACACCCACAUCAAGUCCUUUGAAGGAACGGAACGAGACGAAACAUCAGAAACAAAAAGAAGAUUCCGGAAAUUUGACCGUGCUUGACAUUACGUUCGGCGAUUUCAACGCGCCAAUCACAUCUACGCCUAAACCACGAAUACCUUAUUUGCUGCGGGACUCGGUCGAUAGUCAAAGAGAAGAAAUUGAGAAUUUUCCAGCAGUUUCCGUUGAUGGUUUGUAUUUGUUUUUUUUUUUUAUGGUCAAAUAGUAUCUAACGUGACUUAUUUCCGCAGAAAUGGACGACAGCUCGCUGAAACCUUCUAUCGCAGAUCGGUGGUCAUUUGCAGGAUGGGCAGGCCACGACCCGAGACCAGAUGUCCAAUCCCUUACAGUUUGCAUCCCGAUGGAAGGUCCAGCUGGAGCGUUCCCCGGCGCAAUCGAUCUUUCGGUCCAAACACGAUCUGGAAAGGAAUUGUUGGAUCGUCCAGUUCCGGCACCGGCCGUUUUGCGUUCCACUGAGGGUAAACCGCAGCCGAAGUCGGAAAUGUCGACAACCCCCCCUUCGUCUCGGGAAACACCGACUGAUCGAAGUUUUCAACAGACGCCGC